rnacentral:rRNA from 1 species
UACGGAGGGGGCUAGCGUUGUUCGGAAUUACUGGGCGUAAAGCGCGCGUAGGCGGACCUGCAAGUCGGGGGUGAAAGCCCGAGGCUCAACCUCGAAACUGCCUUCGAUACUGCGGGUCUCGAGUCCGGGAGAGGUGAGUGGAAUUCCUAGUGUAGAGGUGAAAUUCGUAGAUAUUAGGAAGAACACCAGUGGCGAAGGCGGCUCACUGGCCCGGUACUGACGCUGAGGCGCGAAAGCCAGGGGAGCAAAGCGGG